rnacentral:lncRNA from 1 species
GUGGACGGAUGGACCCCUGCCGUCAGAGCUUCGGCAGCGCCAAGGCAGACCAGGCCACAGCCAAGUUGCUUUGCAGAACCCAGGAGCUGCUCCCGGGGUCCUGCCCUCAGACCCUCUGUGCUGGCCUUCAGCUCCGUCCUGUCCCGAGUCCCAGGCUCACCCGGCUGGCAGACACGUGGGCUCUGCCUUUCAGCUGGAGCGGAUGCUGGAGAGCACAGCUGUGCGUGCCCAGAAGCAGCUGAUCCUGCUGCACAGGGAGGAGGGCCCGGCGCCAGCGCGCACCGUGGAGUGGCUCAACAUGCGGAGCUGGUGCUCCGGCCACCUGCACCUCUGCUGCCCGCGCCGCGUCUUCUCCAGGAGGAGCCUGCCCAAGCUGGUGAGGCGGGGAGAGGAGGCUGCCUGCCCGUGGCUCCGUGGUUCAUUUCCUCGAACGUUCGAAGCAUUCUUCACAUUCCCCACCUGAUUCCCUGACACCUGCGCUCCUGGGCCCUUCCUGUGCUUGUGAACGUGACCCUGCCUCACGUCUCCUUCAUCUUGCCCUUUGGGCCUCUGGUGGCCACGGCUAGGAAGCAGCCGGUGCAGUGGGGGCAGGCACAGGGCGGCCAUCGGGCUGGGGGCUCAGCGAACCCCGGGGAUGGGCCUGAAUCAGGGGGCUCAGCAAACCCUGGGGAUGGGCCUGACGUCAGGGGGGCUCAGUGAACCCUGGGGGAUGGGCCUCAUGUCAGGGCUGCUCAGGGCUGAGGCUGAGGCCCCCACAUCCAGCUGAUGAGGGUGUCCUCAGGCCAGCGCUGCUCCCUCCUUUGGGCAGAAGGCCCUGAGACUUUUAAUUCCGGUGUCCUCAGGCAGCCCAGGGGCCUGAGAGUGAGGGGUGUGGGGAGUCUGCUCAUGCUCACGGCCCCCAGCCCACAGCUCUGUCCAGAAACCCACGCCCUGAAGGCACCAUCUGCUGCAGGAUAGAGGGACCCCAGUGGGAACAGCUCUGAGGAUGCCUUCUGGCCCCCCACCCGGGCCCACUCUCUGGCCCCCCACCCGGGCCCACUCUCUUGCCCACGUACCCUCUGCCAGUGUCCUCCCCCCAGUAGCUGAGCUGUCUCUGGGGCCCGGUCCGGGCACUGAGGUGCUGACCAGUCGUAUCAGGCAGGGCCUGCUGCAUGCUGGAGAGGAUUUGGGGUCAGUUUGGGUCAGAAGUGGAGGAAACUCCCCCCAGUCAAGCCAGGAUGCGAGGUCUCGGCCGAGGGUGGGGCCCUGCACCAGCCCUGCCUGACGGCUCCUCCCCCAGGUGGAGAUGUACAAGCAUGUCUUCCAGCGGCCCCCGGACCGACACUCAGACUUCUCCCGCCUGGCGAGGGUGCUGACGGGCAACGCCAUUGCCCUGGUGCUUGGGGGAGGGGGAGCAAGAGGCUGUGCCCAGGUGGGCGUUCUCAAGGCCUUGGCGGAGUGCGGCAUCCCUGUGGACAUGGUGGGAGGCACGUCCAUCGGGGCCUUCGUGGGUGCCCUGUACUCUGAGGAGCGGAACUACAGCCAGAUGCGGAUCCGGGCCAAGCAGUGGGCCGAGGGCAUGACGUCCUUGAUGAAGGCCGCGCUGGACCUCACCUACCCCAUCACGUCCAUGUUCUCCGGAGCCGGCUUCAACAGCAGCAUCUUCAGCGUCUUCAAGGACCAGCAGAUCGAGGUGCACCCCCACCCUCAGGAGCCCAUGCAGCCCCCAGUGCCUGUCCCCUCCUGGCCCCCCACCUCUUGGCCCUGGGUCAGCCUCCCCAGACACAGGACAGGAGCGUGAUGGGAGAGGGCCCAUCUGAGCCCCGUCCGCCCGCAGGACCUGUGGAUUCCUUAUUUCGCCAUCACCACCGACAUCACAGCCUCGGCCAUGCGGGUCCACACCGACGGCUCCCUGUGGUGGUACGUGCGUGCCAGCAUGUCCCUGUCCGGUUACAUGCCCCCUCUCUGUGACCCGAAGGACGGACACCUGCUGAUGGACGGGGGCUACAUCAACAACCUCCCAGGUACUGCGGUGGGGGGACCACGCCCGGCAGGAGCACAGGCUCCUGGGUCACGCCGCCCCACGGCCCCUGCCACAGCUGCCUCCGCUCCAAGAAGCCUGGGCUGGAACACGUUUUCCUUAGAGUAUGCCAAGGGAAAAUGUCAGGCUGGCAUCAGAGCUCCGAGAACAUGCACACGCGUGUACAUGCACACGCAGGCACCGGCAGCAUGUGCUCCAGCAUAUGGCCCUGUUUGUCAGCUCAGCAGCAUGCAGAACAAAGGCCAAGUCGAGGAACUGGGAGCAAUUAAGCCCCAUCUGUGCCCACAGUCAGAAACUAACAGCCUGCAGGUGUCGAGCUUGCUGGGGGCCAGGCCAGGCCACUCCUGUCACCUGUGGGAUAUACGGUCAGAAAGGCCCAGGACACAGCCGUGUGCCCACAGCUGCCCAUCGAGCUGGGCAUGUGGGUCUUCUGCCUCUAGAAGGUGUAAUGGCGGAGAGGAGACCCCACAACCCCCACGUCAGGGCUCGGAGAGGCAGGCUCUGCCCCCGUCCCCUGGCUCUGCAUGCCUGUCCAGGGGGUAACCAGGGCUGGCUUCUCCCUAGCGGAUGUGGCCCGGUCCAUGGGGGCAAAAGUGGUGAUCGCCAUUGACGUGGGCAGCCGAGAUGAGACGGACCUCACCAACUAUGGGGAUGCGCUGUCUGGGUGGUGGCUGCUGUGGAAACGCUGGAACCCCUUGGCCACGAAAGUCAAGGUGGGGUGCUACCGGGCAGGCUGGGCUGUCCCUGCUGCUCCUCCCUGCAGCUCCACACCUGUCCUGCGGCAGGGGAGUGGGGGUCGCUCCUGGGCUCUGAGGCCAGCAGGUCUGGGGCCACCCCUCACCACCCCUGCCUGAGCCCAACUCGGGCGAAGGAAGGCACGAGGCCGGACGGGCCUGAAGGCUGUGGCAGCCCGCAGGGAGGACCCCCGGCCGGGUGCUGCUACCCUCUCCCCCCAGAACCUACCUACCCCAGAGGAUGGGUCCCCAGAACCUGUCCUGCGCCACGGGCCAGGCUGGGACGGGGUAGGGGCCGGGGCAGGAGACUCAGGCGGCUGUGACGGCAGCAGGUGUUGAACAUGGCAGAGAUUCAGACGCGCCUGGCCUACGUGUGUUGCGUGCGGCAGCUGGAGGUGGUGAAGAGCAGUGACUACUGCGAGUACCUGCGCCCCCCCAUCGACAGCUACAGCACCCUGGACUUCGGCAAGUUCAACGAGAUCUGCGUGAGUGCCGGCCACCCGCGGCGGCGGAGGCGGGCGGAGGCACUCUGGUGGCUGCCCCUCCUCGCUUCCCCCUUUUGAGAACACAGGAAGUGGGGGGCUCCCCACACCUCCUGACGGGGCCCUGGGGGUGUGCACAGGAAGUGGGCUACCAGCACGGGCGCACGGUGUUUGACAUCUGGGGCCGCAGCGGCGUGCUGGAGAAGAUGCUCCGCGACCAGCAGGGGCCGAGCAAGAAGCCCGCGAGUGCGGUGAGUACGGGCGUCCGGACCACGCCCAGCUCCCCGGACCGCGCCCAGUUCUUCGGGCCACGCCCACGCCCAGUUCAUCAGGCCACGCCCAGCUCCUCAGGCCACAGGCCCUGCCCCCCUGGCCAAAGACUCCAGGGCCAGGACAAGGAUUGCUCAGGACUGCGCAUCUCCCCGGUCCCUGCCCUUACUUGGGGGGCAGGCGGAGGCUGCAGAGAGGGCGCAGGGUGGGUGGGGCCUCCCCACAGGAAGCAGGCUGGGGACUGGCAGGCGGGUGUCCACAGGCAACGUGCUGUCCUCACCCCACCCCUAGGUCCUCACCUGUCCCAACGCCUCCUUCACGGACCUUGCCGAAAUUGUGUCUCGCAUUGAGCCCGCCAAGCCCGCCAUGGUGGAUGGUGAGUGGAGGCGCAAGACGAAGCCGUGGAGACGUGCGUGACCUCCUGAUGCUGUGUUGGGCUUGAACCCCCCCACCCCAGAGGCCCACGGCCUCCCCUCCCGCCCACGUCCACGCCCAGGCUCCAGCAGCUGGGGUGCUUGGUGGCACUCCUCCGUCCCGGGCACCACGUGUUCCCACAGCAGUGGGACUGUGACCACCCCGGGUCACCCAGCCCCUGCCCUUCAUUCACCUCAACUCCCAGCCACACCUCAGGCCUGAAGUAGAACCACGUUUUGCCUCCCACCCCACCCAGUGGGAAAUGGGAAUGAAGGCUGCUUGUUGGAGGGGCCGCAGGACAAGAAGGGCGGGUCCACUACCCUCCAUGCUCCAUCCAGGGCCCUGCGCUUGGGCCUUCAGCCAGUGGCCUCCUCACAGCAGAACUGGACAUUCUCCUGGGAGACGUCUUCAUGGCUGCCGCAGGCCGAGAGGGCCCUGGGCAAGGCAGCCCCUAUCCACAGUUGCCAGGUCUGGGGUGCUGGAGCCCUCAGGGUGCUUGGCUGACAAGGGGAGGAGUGUCUGCCCGCUCCUUGUCCUUGUGGAAGACCCACGAAGUGAUGUGCUGGGGCAAAGCUGGAGCCAGACAGAACCAGGGGUGGUGUGCAGGGCUGCCCUGGGACCAGGUGGCUGCGUGUAGGGCCCCGGGCCACCUUGGAGGCGGGGGUGGGCAUCUGUGGCCGGUUCUGCCUCUGAGUGUGGCUAUGCUGGGUACGGUCCCUUCCUUGGGAGGGGACUGACGCAGCCCUACCCUCGGUGCCAGACGAAUCUGACUACCAGACGGAGUACGAGGAGGAGCUGCUGGACGUCCCCAGGGAUGCAUACGCAGACUUCCAGAGCACCUCAGCCCAGCAGGGCUCAGACUUGGAGGACGAGUCCUCACUGCGGCAUCGACACCCCAGUCUGGCUUUCCCAAAACUGUCUGAGGGCUCCUCUGACCAGGACGGGUAGAGGCCUCUGCUAAAGAGCCCGGAUGCAGCGUCUUCCGUGGGACUGUCCCCAAGGCUGAGGCUCCUGCCAAGUCCUAGGGGCCUCUGUACCUGCCCUGCUGGAAGCCCUGACUUCCCCGGGGCCCCAGGCUGUGUUAGGGUUCUCUGGGCCUCUUCUUUGUACCAGCAGCCCUGCAUACAGGGCCCUGUGAGCCCCCCUGCAGUCCUGUGAGGCCCCUGAAGCUCUGUGAGGCCCCUGAAGCUCUGUGAACCCCCUGCAGCCCUGUGAGGCCCCCCGAAGCCCUGUGAGGCCCCCCGAAGCCCUGUGAACCACCUGCUGCCCUGUGAGGCCCCCAAAGCCCUGUGAACUGCCUGCUGUCCUGUGAACUGCCUGCUGCCCUGUGAGGUGUGGGAGCCCUGAUGCUGCCGUGUGAUGUUUCAAUAAAGGUGGAUCUCACUGUU